rnacentral:piRNA from 1 species
UUCUAGGGCAAACAGCCACCAAGAGGCA